GCUUCUCGUGCGCUAGGGCCGCAUCGGCUCGAAAGCCUUUCCGAUUCAGGUCGGAAAGGCUUUUUUUAUUUGCUU
rnacentral:sRNA from 1 species